GGGGUGUCAGGAGUUCGCUUCUGACUAUGGCAAUAAACGGAAUAUGGAAUAGGCGUAGUGGACCCGGGGGCGGUACCCGGCGUCUCCACCAAAUAUCCAGCCUUGCAAGGGUUUGGACAACUGGGGACGAAACAGGCUCGACACGCGCAGUAAAGAUAUUCUUUUUGCCCGGUAUUGUACCACCGUUAUCGGGCUAUUUUUACAAGUGCCAAUGAUAACUCUGAGGUGCUCGCUGUUGCUGCAUAAGCGAUAAGCGCGGUUCGGGAGGGCACCGGGCAACAGAAGCCCUCCCA
rnacentral:tmRNA from 1 species